rnacentral:tRNA from 1 species
GCUUCAUUAACUCAGUUGGUAGAGUGUCUGACUGUUAAUCAGAGAGUCGUUGGUUCGAGUCCAACAUGAAGCG